rnacentral:rRNA from 1 species
AUAAUUUGUAAUAUUAUUUAAUGAGUAGUAAGAGUUAGGGGCUUGAAACUUAAAGAUUUUGGCGGUAUUUUAGUCUAUUCAGAGGAAUUUGUUCUUUAAUCGAUAUUCCCCGUUGGACCUUACUUUAAUUUGUUUAUCAGUUUAUAUAUCGUCGUUAUAAGAAUAUUUUAUAAGAAAUCAAUGUUCUAGAUUUAUUAUUUUAAUUUAUAUCAGAUAAAGGUGUAGUUUAUAUUAAAGAUUGAAAUGAAUUACAAUAAAAUUAUUUAUUAUGAAUGUAAGUAUUCAAUUAUUUAUUGAAGGUGGAUUUGAUAGUAAGCUUAUAAAGAUUAAUAAACUGAUAGUAGCUCUAAGAUGUGUAC